GUUUGCUUCGGCAGCACGUAUAUACUAUAAUAGGAACGAUACAGCGAAGAUUAGCAUGGCAUGGUGCAAAGAUGACACGCAAAUUCGUGAAGCAUUCCAGAUUUAA